GCGGGUGUAGCUCAGUUGGUUAGAGCACUGCUUUGUGGUAGCGGGGGUCGCGAGUUCAAAUCUCGUCAUUCGCCCCA
rnacentral:tRNA from 1 species